CUGAUUUAGAAAGUGUGUGGACAAGCUAUAUAUGGUUUGGGAGAAUAACGUACGUCGGGUAAAGCGCGACAAUGCUAGCGUCACAGGCACGAAGCCGGGCAAAGGCACAUAUAUUGAGGUUCUGUCACAGUUGGAAACAGAAAACAUAACAGCAUCAAGCUUAAAGUAUAAUUGAAUCUACUGAAAGUUGUCUCAUAACCACGUGUACUCUCCCACUCCGUUUCCAUUUCAGGUUUCUCCAUAGACGCACAGAGACUACACAUUUCCU